ensembl:lncRNA
AGCCAUCUUGGAACCGGGCGGCGGCUGCGUCCUCUGUGGAGGCGUGGCCGGAACGGAGGUGGUGUUGUCACCUGUCAAGCUCAGGUGUUCCCUUGGCCUGGCUUCUCGGGCUCCUGUUAAGUUAUGGCAGGUGACCUUUGAGGUGGCCGGGCAUCCCCCCUCCCCCCACGGCGGCACUGGUCCCAUCUCAAGGGACACCCUCCCUCCUAAAGGGCUGUUCUGGACACCUGAGUGAGCCAUGUGAUUAUUGUUCCAGCCUCUCCCUCCUCGAGCCCCCUGGCCUGGUCCUGGGCAGGGCCUGGGUUGUGCAGAUGGCCAAGUUCCACUUUUGUCCAUCUCUAAUGGGCAAAUGCACCAAUGGCAGCACACGGCAAGAGGUGCUCCCCGUGGUAUGUGGAGGUCCUGAGCAGUUCUUGGGCUGAGGUCUGUGGAGCUAGGUCUUUGGAGCUGGAUCUCAGAGGAAGAUCUCAGAAGCCCUGCCAAGACACAGUUUCAUGUUGUAUUUCACCUGAAUCCCAAAAAGGCAGCUCCUGAAGUCCCAUUACUGUGUGGUGGUGUCAGGCCAUUCCAUCUUCAGCUGGCUGGCUCACCCAUGGCCCCUGCCUGGCUUUGCCACUAGGUGGAGCCACAGGCCUACCCAAUUGCUUCCCCACGUUGCAAACGCCAGACCUGCCUUUCAAAUUUAGCGUCAGGACUCUUCUUCAACUCUCCUAAAUUUUUCAAGUUUCUGUUACAUGGUGACAUCUAGGGGUAUUUAGAGACAAAAACAGAGCAGCUGUUACACUUAGGACUUUCACUUAAAACCAGUGAUGAUAAAUCCAGUGCAUGUAAACAUCACAGUUUAAAGAAAAACAGCUUUAUUUUCCCAUCAUUGGUGCAGAUCCCUUAGAAGAGCUAGGUUAUAACUACGUGGCCAACUCAAGUUCUUUCUGCUGUUCUGUCCACAUUGAUUUGCUGCUUUUUGG